ensembl:lncRNA
CUAGUUCUUGUGUAAUGUUUAGCUGAGUACAUUCCUCCCUGUGAAAUAUUAACAAUCAGCAUAUUUCACAACUGUACAUUUCAAACAAUCCAUCCGGCAACUCCACAUUUUUAUUUACCAUCCACCCACUCACUAAUGUUUGUGUUUGUUACUCUUGUUUCACUUUCUGAUAAAUCUCCAGUAUAUCUGCACAGUUGUUUGUGUGUUUCGUGUUUUCCAUCUGUUAUUCUUUUACACUUCCUGUGAUAACUGCCUAAAUACUUCUAUAUUCAAAUUAUAAUCCCUUCCAUCGUGACAAUUGCAGCGUGGAAUUUAGCAACAUGUUCUGGUUUAGGCAUGAAACUAAGACAUGAUUGCACAACCACUCCUUGUUACAGAUUUGAGCCUCACUUUGUUUGAUUUCUUCAGAUUGAAUAAAGAAAAGACAUCGAAAAAAAAGAGCUGAUGAUAACCUGACUGUGUAAACAGACAGCUCUGACAUGACAGUUCAGUUCAUCUCCAAUAAAGUAAAAUUGUUAAAACAGUCAAGGAAAAGAUCUUCUGUGACUGUUUACUGGAUUUUACAAAGUAGGCGUGUUUGUUUCUGUAUCUAUAAAUAAUCAAAUUUUUUUAAUCAAAGAAUUUCUCGAUUCUGAUGAGAAAGAUUUCAGAUUUUUUUGGGAGAAUGUAUAUUUGUGCAUCUCUGAGGCUUCGCAUUAGGUUUGGUCAUUACUAAAUACUAAAAAUGCAUGAGUUUUAUAUAUAUAUAACUACAUGUAAUUGUACCACAUUUAACACAUAAUUAGAUUUUUAUUGUUAAUUGUUUAAUCUUACGUACAAACUGAAUUAAAACAAAUAAUAAAAUGAAAGAACUAAACACAAAUGAUUGCCUUCCUAUACAGGUUAGACCUGAACUCGACCUUGUUGUUUUAACACCCUAGGCUGUUUUAACAGUGGUUUACGGUUGAAGAAGAACACAUUUCAAUCACGAGACAUUAGUGGAAAAACUUUCUAUAAACAUUCACUGCUAAAAAGGAAAACUAACUGUAACUUUUUUGAGUGUUAAAAGAUGUGAACCUUAAGUAAUCUAAUAUACUUUACCACAGCAGCCCAGUAGUUACUCCCACUUUACUCCCACUCAUAGCUAAAAGUAUGAUUAAAAAAAUAAAUAAAUAAUGUCCUUAAAUAAAGGGAGAGCUAAAGCUUUCAUGAGUCUUAAAACUUCAGUUUCACAGAUAAGGCAUGGACUAGAAAUGUUUUGCGAUGAAGCUCUUUUGGUCUUUUAGUCCAGGGUUAGCUUUAAUCCACGUCUGGGAAACUGGGUGAAUGAGUCAAGGUUGAACAGACCUUGAUACGCCUUUUGGGAUGUCACGUACUACAAAUUUUAUUGCUUUGCAUUUCUACCCACUGAGGUGUUUCAUGUUUCCGAUUAUUAGAUAAGAGCUGUGCAAAGUUAACAUGAUAAUGUAACUUUCUUAAUAAGCCAAUUAGAAGUUGCAUGAUGUAGAUUUCAUAAGGUAAUAAUGUGUGUACAAAAAAAAUUGCGUGUGAGAUAUUUUUAAUCCAGUUUUGAUUAUAAAAGAACAGCUUUGCAAACAGCUCUUUUUAAAUGCUGUAGUAGCACAUGUAAUCGAAUUGUUUAAACUAUUUAUGAUUUCGUUACUCAUUGAAUGUGGUCUUAACUUCAUCUCGGUCACACAAUAGUACUUUUGGCUACUCCCCAGACGGGUGGAUCUGUGUUUAAUUUGGCACAAAUUCUUCAUUGGAUUUUCUGAUCCAG